rnacentral:lncRNA from 1 species
CCAUACCUUCUCAUUGAGCGUUGGGUUUGCUAAGUACCUUCAAUCUUAGUGUGUGAAGUCUUGUUGUGCGAUAUCCACGAGCAAGGUGAAGUCUUGAGGUGAGGUAUCCUCGAGCAUGUUGAUGUCUUGUAGAGCGUACAUCUACGAGCAAGUGUAACGGUUUGUUAGGCACCCGUAAGCUUAACGGAGUUAGUGUAAACUCGAGAGAGUCUCUCGGG